AAGAUGAGAGUUAACCGAGGCAUAUAUGGUGGAUAAAAAGCUCUUAAAAAUAUGGGUGUUCCGAGGAAAGUAUACCAGUAGGGAAUGUGGGUUACAUUAGUAAUGGAGGAAUAUUUUGAGAGCAGACGAAACUAAAGUGUUGCCACGGUGACGGUGGUGGUGGGCAUGAUACAGAUGCGGGAGGUGGAGUUUGUGCCCGAUAGAGACAUGCAGCUGGACAAAUUGUGUUGGUCAUUGGUCAGACUGGAGUUUACAUGUGUACCUCCUUCACCAUCAUUGGUGGACACUUCACCAUGAGUGAUGCUUGAGCUGUCACGGUGCUGCUGCUGCUGUCUGCCAUCAUCACCCUGACACAGACCACCCUGCAGACCACCUUCAUCCUGGGUGCCACACGUCACUGCUGCUACAACUCAGAGCAACUGGAGCGCAAGCCAGGAAGGGAGAUGUGUUGCCACGGUGACGGUGGUGGUGGGCAUGACACAGAUGCGGGAGGUGGAGUUUGUGCCCGAUGGAGACAUGCAGCUGGACAAAUUGUGUUGGUCAUUGGUCAGACUGGAGUUUACAUGUGUACCUCCUUCACCAUCAUUGGUGGACACUUCACCUUGAGUGAUGCUUGAGCUGUCAUGGUGCUGCUGCUGUUGUCUGCCAUCAUCCCCCUGACACAGACCACCCUGCAGACCACCUUCAUCCUGGGUGCCACACGUCACUGCUGCUACAACUCAGAGCAAC